rnacentral:rRNA from 1 species
GACGAACGCUGGCGGCGUGCUUAACACAUGCAAGUCGAACGGAAAGGCCCUGCUUUUGUGGGGUGCUCGAGUGGCGAACGGGUGAGUAACACGUGAGUAACCUGCCCUUGACUUUGGGAUAACUUCAGGAAACUGGGGCUAAUACCGGAUAGGAGCUCCUGCUGCAUGGUGGGGGUUGGAAAGUUUCGGCGGUUGGGGAUGGACUCGCGGCUUAUCAGCUUGUUGGUGGGGUAGUGGCUUACCAAGGCUUUGACGGGUAGCCGGCCUGAGAGGGUGACCGGCGACAUGGGGACUGCGAGACGGCCCAGACGCCUACGGGAGGCAGCAGUGGGGAAUAUUGCAGAAUGGGCGGAAGCCUGAGGCAGCAACGCCGCGUGCGGGAUGACGGCCUUCGGGUGGUAAACCGCUUUCGCCUGUGACGAAGAGUGAGUGACGGUAAUGGGUAAAGAAGCAACGGCUAACUACGUG